UUAAAAGUCUCAAACAAAACCCUAUAUUUUUUUCAUUUUUUUCUCAUUCUACCCCUGCUCUCCCUACCCCUGUUAUAUGAAACCCUAAUUGAAAUUGAAUAUUAUCAUUAACACAGUCGUUCCCUUUACCCUCCCCUGAGCAGGCUAGCACCCUUCAACGGCCGGAGAAAUCAAGGGUCCUAUAUUAAACCCAUUUUCCGUUAUAGAUUUGCGCCUAUAUAUGAGCUAUUAUCGCUGCCGUUCACGGAGGAGGAGAGAGACGCUCAGAAGCCAGACAAAACACCGGCCGUUGCACGCCUGCACCCAUGUUCCAGUGUUCCAGUUGUAAAUCGGAACUAUCCAUCAGACAAGUUCGAAAUCAAAGCCAUUUGAUCCAUUUAAGGUGUUUGUAUAGUGGAUCUCACCCUUUUGAGGACUAAAAUGUAAUUUCCUCCCUGGUUUUAAGACGGCAGCCCAGUAGACAUACCUUUUACCCUGAUUCUUCAUCCUUAUCUCCCAAAAUUGCCCCCAAUUCAAUAUCUUUAGCCUACAUGAUUCUUGCACAACGAACUAUUCAUCCCAACAGUCGGUGUACAUUGAAGACGCCAAUUGAUGAAAGUGUAAAUUGAAGGCGCCGAUUGAUGAUUGAAACGGUGGCAACAGUUAUAAAUACGAUCAAUGAUCAAUUAGGUUUGAUGAUUGAAAUCAACUCUUGAUAUUGAAGAUGUUCAAUCUGAUUUGGUUUUGAAAUAUAUGAUUAGUGUGGAUAGGGCUCAUUUGAUUUGUUGAUUAUGAUUGACAACAUUCAAUUGCAUGCUGAAUUUUAGUUUGACUUAAUGGCGUAAUUGCUGCCCCACUUGAAAAUACUUAAGAGCCCGGAAAAACUUCUUCUGGGAUUUUGACAAGUGUUUGUUCCUCAAUUUCAUCACUACCCUUUACAACACAAACAUUCGGUCUAACAACCUCAGACGAUAACAAACCUACAGUAACAAUACAACCAUCAACAAGUACCACGUGUUAGAUCAUUUGUCUGCCUUGUUACCCAUCCGCCACCACAACAAAUCUUCAAAUAAAAAACACAGUUCAGAAUCAACCCAACUGACCCAAAAUCAGGACCUGAAGAUAAGCUAAGAGGGGUUUUCAUUCAGAAACUGAACGGAAAAGUUGUUGUUAAACAAGCACUAACAACAGCUGCUGUUGAUGUUAAUGUGAACAAUAAUAUAGUUGCUAAAGUUGUCAACAGAGGAAACUUAGAUGGAGGGUCUAUGGUUAAGUUAUUUGAGUGGGCGAUCGAGCGAGCGAAGGACCAUGGUUGCGGAUGUUAGUAGUUAUAAUGUGGUUCUUAAAGCAUUAGGGAGAAGAAAGUUUUUUGCUUUUAUGGAGAGUGUUUUGAGUGAGAUGAGGAGUAAAGGGUUGAAGAUGGAUAACGAAACUUUUUUUAUUUUACGGAUAGUUUCGUUAAAGGUAAACGCGUCUCGAAAGCUUUACGUAUGUUUGGGAAAUUGGAAGAGUUUGGGAUGGAGUAUGAAAGGGAAAGUGUAGAUAUAUUGAAUCUUGCUUUGCAAGAAGAUUCCGGUGACUUACAAACCGCCGUUGUUAGUUACCGGAAUAAGUUCCCCCGGUCUCUUUUGCAACGCUUUCUUUAGACAUAUAGUGAAGUUCAAGGAUGGAAUCAUGACAUUGGUCAAUCAGUGAAGGAGUACAGUAUAUUGACUAUGCAAUCAGACAUGUACUUCUUAGACAGGUUUAAGUUAAAAGUACGGAAGCCCAGGAUUUAUACACAAAGCAAACGGUCUACUCAAGCCCUAGCAAUCCAAUCCGCACAUCCCGUCAUGGCAUAUGUAUAUGUUAGGUCAAAUCAAAGCUCAAAGGUCGCCAGAAACAAAUAACAGGGCUUGCUUUUUCAUAGACUUUAAACAUGCUGGUUUCAUCUGGUGCUGAUGCUCAGGCAAGUGGUGGAUGAGCUGGUGUCUGAUAAUUAUUUUGGGAUAUAGAAUAUUAAAUAAUAUUAGAUUCAUGUUUUUUGUUCUUACCACCACUGAAUGUUUUGACUGAAUUACAACUGUGUAUCUGGAACAUUAAUGGAUGGGAGAAGAGGAAAUCACGAAGCAUACAAUCGCCACCUGGACAUCCAUCCUCACUGGUUGGAGAAACUAAAGUUCAGUUCCAUAAUGAUCAACGGCAUCCCUCCUUGUUGUAUAUGAAAGUCAAAUUGCCAUUUAUGACCACCAACUGGAAUGCUUGAAGUUGGUAAAUAGUUGGACUCAC
rnacentral:lncRNA from 1 species